UACGUAGGGGCCGAGCGUUGUCCGGAGUUACUGGGCGUAAAGCGCGCGCAGGCGGCCAUCUAAGCCCGGCGUGAAAGCCCCCGGCUCAACCGGGGAGGGUCGUCGGGGACUGGGUGGCUUGAGGACGGCAGGGGCUGGUGGAAUCCCCGGUGUAGUGGUGAAAUGUGUAGAGAUCGGGAGGAACACCGGUGGCGAAGGCGGGUCUCUGGGCAAUUCCUGACGCUGAGGCGCGAAAGCGUGGGGAGCAAACGGG
rnacentral:rRNA from 1 species